rnacentral:rRNA from 1 species
CCCUUAGAUGUUCUGGGCAGCACGCGCGCUACAAUGGUCUUCGCAAACGGAUGCAUUCUCUAAGGAGAAUGCCAAUCUUGGAAUCUAUGCCUUGGUCGGGACAGUUGCUUGCAAUUUUUCGACUCGAACCAGGAAUUCCUUGUAAUCGUGAUUCAUCACAUCACGAUGAAUACGUCCCUGCCCUUUGUACACACCGCCCGUCGCUCCUACCGAUCGAAGAGUUAGGUGAAUUGUUUUGAUCGAUAAGAUUUGACUAUGGUCAACUCUCGUUGUGAAAUUCUGUGAAUCUGACUGUUUAGAGGAAGGAAAAGUCGUAACA